AACCUUAGGACCACAGCCUUUCCACUGUCCCCAAGCCACGAGAUAAAACAGCUUCUUUAUACAGAACUUUUUCUGGCAAGAAGAGUGACAACCCAGCUCUUUCAUGUCAUGACAGUCCAGCCUGUCAACAAGAGGACGCUUUGCUAGCCAGUGAGGAGACCUAGAAGCAAUGACAUCCCAAUAGCAACAAGCACACCUGGCAUCCAGAUCUUGGUUUCUAAAUACCAUUCUCCAACACGAAAAAGGCAAGACUCCUUGAAGAAAUGGUUGAUUCCAAGGCUAGAGCAGGAAAAAUACAAGAUGAGCUUAGAACAUCUGAUGAUACCAUAAAGGAUGGAAACACUUUAAAAAACAAUGACUGCAUUUCUAAAGAAUACAGAGUCAACCUGAAAGAACUCCUAAUGGCCACAGCUGGGACGAUACCAAAUAUCAA